rnacentral:rRNA from 1 species
GAUGAACGCUGGCGGCGUGCCUAAUACAUGCAAGUCGAGCGAACAGACGAGGAGCUUGCUCCUCUGACGUUAGCGGCGGACGGGUGAGUAACACGUGGAUAACCUACCUAUAAUACUGGGAGAACUUCGGGAAACCGGAGCUAAUACCGGAUAAUAUAUUGAACCGCAUGGUUCAAUAGUGAAAGACGGUUUUGCUGUCACUUAUAGAUGGAUCCGCGCCGCAUUAGCUAGUUGGUAAGGUAACGGCUUACCAAGGCAACGAUGCGUAGCCGACCUGAGAGGGUGAUCGGCCACACUGGAACUGAGACACGGUCCAGACUCCUACGGGAGGCAGCAGUAGGGAAUCUUCCGCAAUGGGCGCAAGCCUGACGGAGCAACGCCGCGUGGGUGAUGAAGGUCUUCGGAUCGUAAAACUCUGUUAUUAGGGAAGAACAAAUGUGUAAGUAACUAUGCACGUCUUGACGGUACCUAAUCAGAAAGCCACGGCUAACUACGUG